GAUUAACGCUGGCGGCGUGCCUAACACAUGCAAGUCGAACGAGGUAGCAAUACCUAGUGGCAGACGGGUGAGUAACGCGUGGUCAACCUACCGUUGAGUGGGGGAUAACUAGCCGAAAGGUUAGCUAAUACCGCAUACGUCUCCGAGAGGCAUCUCUUGGCGAUAAAAGGAGCAAUCCGCUCGAUGACGGGACCGCGUCCCAUUAGCUAGAUGGUGGGGUAACGGCCUACCANGGCUCCGAUGGGUAGCUGGUUUGAGAGAGCGACCAGCCACACUGGGACUGAGAAACGGCCCAGACUCCCACGGGAGGCAGCAGUGAGGAAUUUCCGCAAUGGGCGAAAGCCUGACGGAGCGACGCCGCGUGUGGGAAGAAGGCCU
rnacentral:rRNA from 1 species